GGUAGAAAGGGAAGAAGGAAGCUGGAUUUGUGACCACUUUGGGUUUCUGUGAUACAGCUCUUCCCCUUCUUCC
ensembl:miRNA